UACGUAGGGUGCGAGCGUUAAUCGGAAUUACUGGGCGUAAAGCGUGCGCAGGCGGUGAUGUAAGACCGAUGUGAAAUCCCCGGGCUUAACCUGGGAACUGCAUUGGUGACUGCAUUGCUGGAGUAUGGCAGAGGGGGGUGGAAUUCCACGUGUAGCAGUGAAAUGCGUAGAUAUCAAGAGGAACACCAGUGGCGAAGGCGAGUCCCUGGACAACACCUGACACUGAGGCACGAAAGCUAGGGGAGCAAACAGG
rnacentral:rRNA from 1 species